rnacentral:RNase_P_RNA from 2 species
CGAGUGAGCACGACGAUCGCGGGCAACAGUCCGAAAGGCGUUGUCUGAGGAAAGUCCGAGCUGCAUAGAGCAGGGUGCUGGAUAACGUCCAGUGGGGGCGACCCUAAGGAAAGUGCCACAGAAAACAAACCGCCUCGCUGAGCGAGGUAAGGAUGAAACGGUGCGGUAAGAGCGCACCAGAGGUCAGGUGACUGGCCUGCUUGGUAAACCCCACCCGCAGCAAGACCGAAUAGGGGAAGGAUGAGGUUGCUCGCUGACUUCCCGGGUAGGUCGCUUGAGGUGUCAGGUAACUGGCAUCCUAGAUAAAUGAUCGUCCUCGACAGAACUCGGCUUAUGGCUGACUCGAUCU